CAGUCCGACCUACCCAAUUCCCCAACUCCAAAUAUCCACUCUCCAUUCUCCAACCCUAAUCGGCUAAUCUCUGCGCUCGCUGUCACAAUUCGCAUUCCCACAAGGCGGCAGGGCUCUAGGCCAAUCCCCAAUCUCCAGCCCAACCACGAUGCCCCUCCGCCGACCAUCUGUCACCGGAGAACCCCACCGUCAAUCUGCCUAGGCCCCCAGCCCUCACCGGCCGAUCUGCCCAGCGGUCGACCGUCCUCCGCCGAAGAUCCCCGCCGACCCUCCAGUCUAUCCACUCGAGUGCUCCAUCGCCUGUCGCUCGAGUGCCCCGCUGCCCAUCUGUCGUCUGUUGCCCAAGAUCCUCAUCGCCCUUUCUUCCCCUCGAGAGCACCGCCGCCCGAGAUUGUCCCGCUCACCUCAGAUACCCAUUGACCGCUCAGAUCCCCGCCGCUCGAGAUCGUAGUAGGCAGCGCCAGAGAGUGGCGAGCCGGCGACACACCCCCAAAUCUCGAUCCAUCCGACCGGUUCUAUAUUUGCCAUCACUGCUGCUUCCUAAAGCUGCAAUAUUCCGUUCAGUGACAUCGAAAGUUCAGAAUAGUCCCCCAUAGACUGGCGCAGAUGAUUGAUGAUGAGGCUGACUUCAACAACAUCUUUGAUGCCCCAGCAGAAGUGAAGACCGCUGCAAAGUUCCGUCCCAAGCAAGGGGUCAAGCCCCGAAAGGCAACUCUGCCAUCCAAAUCUGCAGCGUUUAAUCCUACUGCGAACAUUAAAGAUGGAAAAGUAGGAGCCUUAACUCAAGGCAAUUCUUCUGAAGAAAUCACUAGUCAAGGAAGAGCAUCCUUGACAGGCCCAGAUAGUGAGACAGUCGAUGAUGUAACCGGUUCUCGGAGUAUUCUUGAAGUAAUGUCGAAAGAUGUGCUUACAGUUCCCCUGGUGCCUCGAAACGAUCGUGGUGUGCCACGGGAUUCUCCAACAGGUGGUGCUUCUGCUGGAGAUAGGGUUUCUCAAGACGACGAGCAUGAUGAUGAUUCAUCUAAAUUAGCUACACACCAAGAAAACUUGUUGGUUUCAGAUAUCCAUGUAUCAUCUGCCAGUUCAUAUAGCAAGAUUAUUGAUGAUAUAGUUGAAUUUGGGGAAAUGUUUGAUGAACAAGCUGAAGAGGAAAGAGUUGCAAAGUUCCAGCCUAGGGUACAGUUGAAGAUUAAGGCAGCAUCCAAAUCACGGAAGGCUAACCAAAAGGUGGAAGCUUCCACUGUAGAUGCGGUCACACUAAAUGAAAGAGGUGAUAAUAAUCAGACAGGACUCCAUGAUGAUCAGCUACAGGCUCCUAGAUGUCAUAAAAGUGUGCAGACCUCAGAUUCUGAAGCAUUAUUGGCAACUGAAAAUAGUACAGUUGGCAAUUUAGCUAACCUCGACAGUGUCCUUGAAGAGCCAGUUCAAGAGGAAACAGUUGGGAAGUUUCGGCCUAAAUUGUGUCUGAAGCCUGGGAAGGCUUCAUCCAAAGUUGCUGGGAGUAAUGACAAUGUUGCUGCAGCUACACCGAUGGUUGGAGUUUGUGCUGUAGAUGUGAUCCUUCAAGAUAAAAAAGAUCAAAAAACCAUCACAGGUCCAGCCCCUUGGUCACCUCAGGAUGUGCAUGCUAAUGUCGAUUUGGACUCUCAGAAUGAGCUUAUAAAUCCUCAUACUUAUGGCACUCAAUCAAUGUCUAGAGAAGUUUCUGCUGAACACACUGUUAAAUCUCAACCUAAUGCUGGAGAAAAAAAGGGCAAAGGAAAAUCAGUAUCUUUUGUUCCACUUGAUGCUUCUGAGGGGGUUUCACCUACAAAUAUUUACUCUGAGAUGGGUUACUUCGACCAUUCCUGUAAUGACACAUUGACUGAUGAAAAUUUAAAUAAUGCACCUCAGCAAACAGCUGAAAAGCAUUGUAUUGCUAAAGAACAAUAUUCAAAUGGUCAGGUAUAUACCGAUAAAGAAAGCCAGAGCCAUGAGAGGGAACCAUCGGAUCAUGCUGUUGAACAACAGCCAAAAAUGAAUGCUGGAGAAUCAGGAUCAUCCAUGAAACUGCGGAGGAGGGAAAAGUUGCAGAAAGUUGGUAUACCUGAGCAUACUGCUGAUGACUGUUUUGAUGAAGACUAUGUUGGACCUUCAGCAGCUGAACAAGAUAAUGAUAGUGGUGACGAUUACACUGCUGGUGGCAAGCGGAAGGUAAGGCGAAAGUCAAGGGAUGGUAUAAGUAAAGAACCUCCAAGGGAUUCAAUGUUCUUAGAAGAGCCGCAGCAGCAUAAGGUUCAAAAAGAUAAAAGCCAAGUAUCUUCACGGGGCCGCAAGAGAACCUCGAAAGAUGCAGCGACAGAAAAACCUGAUAAAAAGCUUACCCACAGAAUUCGUCAGAAGAAAAUGAAAGAGGUUAAGACUUUACUGGAAACAUCUGAUAAGAUAGAUCACAUGAAGCUAAGUGCGACACAUCUCAGGUUGUUACAAGAAAUAAGAGAGCGUGUUAAGGGUAAAGAAAUUCCAUCCGGACCAUCCUCUAAUACAAGCUUCCAACUUGAAGAUCCGGAUGGUUUUGAUUCAUUUGGAGAUAAUGAAGCACAUAACUUCGACGACAACAGAACAGAGAACAGUGUACUACAAAAUGCAACCAAACUGAAUUAUCAUUCCUACAUGAACAAACAAACACGAGCCAAAUGGUCAAAAUCUGAUACUGACUUGUUUUACCAGGGACUUCGACAAUUUGGUAGCGAUUUUGCAAUGAUACAACAAUUAUUCCCUGAUAAGACCUGUCAUCAGGUGCGGCAAAAGUUUAAAACUGAGGAGAGAAAAAAUCCGAUGCAAGUUCAUGAUGCUAUAAUUCAUCGCUCGGGGGAUAAUUUGUAUUUCAAAAAAGUAAUUAAACAGCUCAACAUUGAAGAUGUGCUACCAGAGAUGAACAGUACACAUAAACAAGAACAAGAGGGUGUGUCAAAUGAGGGCGGCCGUGGAAAUGAGAAUGCAUUGGAUGAUUUCAUCGACGAGGAAGGAGAAAAUGGUUCAAAUUGGUCGGAUAAAGAGCUUGGCACGCACAGGUCUUACGUCCAAGAAGAGCAUGUUCCUGGAAAUGCUGAUGUUGAUCUUGGGGAUGUCUUCGAUUGGUACUAGCCAGAUAAUCAUGAUCAAUAUUAGGACAUAUGAUCUGGGAUCUCCAUGGUUAUGAUUUUGCCAACCUUGUGAGUUGGCAUCCUUCUGAUGCUAUUACGGAGUGUCGAGCAAUCAUGUCGAUUUAUGUGCAUACAUGCACUUCAUAUGGAGAUAAGUGCUGGUCACCGUCAUUAUGCCGUGACUAGUACCGGUACAUGGAAUUGCAUGAGAGGUUGGUAUCGUUCAAUAUUAAACUCUCAAAUGGAGUUACAUCAUGACAUUCAUACAUUUUCAUACUGUCUGAAGAAUAUGAAAUCCUGAGGAGAUGGUAUUAUGAUAUAUGGGCAUUUGAGUGUUUGGUUGGCAAUCGCCAUGUCGAGAGGAUGUGAACCCAUGUUUGGUUAUGUCUUUGCUUACCACUGUGAAUUGUCUUUGUUUAAGACAUUAUGGGAGAUUGUGUUAGAAGAUGUUGUAUCAUGUGGAAGACUACCUUUUAAUUUCCCAUGUCUUGGCCUAUCUUUGAGAGUAUGUUUAGAUUGUUCUGGCGAGCAUAAUGGGCUUGGGGUUAGCAGCUUGCACGUUCCACACUGUCUAUAAUCCAAUUCACUCUAUGAACUUAGCUAAAAGUGCAACGCUUGUGCUUGAGAUAAGCUUUUGGUGUAAAGGAGUUUAAUCUUGUUUGCGCUGUAAAGAGUUGCAUGGCUUGUUCAAGUCGGAAGGAACCUUGUUACUGCUUAUAUCAUGUUUAUGUAUCAUGUUAUAUCUUGCAUGUGUGGUUGUGCCAAUUAUACCUUAAAAUACAGAGGUGUUACCAAAAUUUUGAAUUUCCGGCUAAAA